rnacentral:snoRNA from 1 species
ACGAAUCCGACCUUCGUUGACACCUGGCGAGGGGUAGUCCGGAGAAUGUCGUGAUCACUGCAUAUUCCUUCUCGUGGCAUAGCUCCAAGUGAGCGAGGACAGUUGGGAAAAACCAUGCAGUGGACAGUU